AUGGCUAAGAAUCAAGUAGUUGCACAUCAAAAUGUGAUUUUUUCUUGCUUCCUGGCACAGGACCCGUAUCUGUCAUCAUUUCAUGUCCUCAAAGGCCUGAGAGAAGCUGCCAUCCUUGGGCAACAAAGGAUGCCAUGCAAAGCAGCUCAGAACUUGAGUUGUUUCAACAGAUGCUGUUUUAUGUUUUGCCAAAGAAUGGCCCCUUUUAUUUCUGUCAUGAAUGCAGUCUUUCUUUCAGUUUCUAAAUGUUUUCCAGUAUUAACCCUAAUCCUUAUCUAUCAUUCUUUUAGGAUGAUGGGCUGUCCCUUUUCCUUUGGAACCAGCAUAACCUUCACCAUGUCAAUAUGGAUUGCAAAGAAAUGGAAACUUGGUGCUGUUCACCUUACAGCUCCUGAUGAUUUCUUACAGUGGGGGAAAGGGAGAUUGGACUUCAAGGUCAGAGUAGCUGAACCAAGUUAUUCCAAUGUCAAAUUGAACAAGUUCUGCGCCUUAUGCUCCAAGAGACCCAAGAUAAAGAAUAUCAUAAUUUUUCAAACCAGAUGCCCACGUAGAGGGUGAAGAAAAUAAUAAAAAAAAAAAAAGAAUAAGAGAAGCACUAGGAAAGUGAUCUAGACAAUUUGGUGAGUUACUUCUUGAUUGAGAUAUCAUUUAUGAAUGCAGUGGCUCUACUAAUAGAGUUGAAAAGGCUAGUGGUUUUUCACCAAUUUUCUUUUUUAAUUUUACGUUAAGUUCCUGGAUACAUGUGCAGGAUGUGCAGGUUUGUUACAUAGGUAAAUGUGUGCCAUGGUGAUUUGCUGCAUGUAUCAAACCAUCACGCAGGUAUUAAGCCCAGCACGCAUUAGCUAUUUUUCCUGAUGCUCUCCCUCCCUCCACGCCCCGACAGGCCCCAGUGUGUGAUGCUCCCCUCUCUGUAUCUAUAUGUUCACAUUGUUCCGCUCCCACUUAUAAGUGAAAACAUGCGGUGUUUGGUUUUCUGUUCCUGUGUUAGUUUGCUGAGAAUAAUGACUUCCAGCUCCAUUCAUGUUUCUGCAAAGGAUAUGAUCUCAUUCCUUUUUAUGGCUGCAUUGUAUUCCAUGGUUUAUAUGUACCAUAUUUUCUUUAGCCAGUCUAUCAGUGAUGGGCAUUCGGGUUGGUUCCAUGUCUUUGUUACUGUGAAUAGGGCUGCAAUGAAUGUAUGCAUGCAUGUAUCUUUAUAAUAGAAUGAUUUCUAUUCCUUUGGGUAUAUACCCAGUAAGGAGAUUGCUGGGUCAAAUUGUAUUUCUGCUUCUAGAUCUUUAAGGAAUCACUACACUGUCUUCCACAAUGGUUAAACUAAUUUACAUUCCCCAAAACAGUGUAACAGUGUUCCCUUUUCUCUGCAUCCUCGCCAGCAUCUGUUGUUUCUUGAAAUUUUAAUCAUUGCCAUUCUAACUGGUGUGAGAUGGUAUCUCCUUGUUGUUUUGACUUGCAUUUCUCUAAUGAUCAGUCAUGUUGUGCUUUUUAAAAAUAUGUUUGUUGGAUGCAUGAAAAUGUCUUCUUUUAAGAAGUGUAUAUUCAUGUCCUUUGACCACUUUUUAAUGGGGUUUGUUUUUUUCUUGUUAAGUUUCUUGUAGACUUUGGAUAUUAGACCUUUGUCAGAUGGAUAGAUUGCAAAACUUUUCUCCCAUUCUGUAGGUUGUCUGUUCGCUUGAUGAUAGCUUCUUUUGCUGUGCAGAAGCUCUUUACUUAAAUUAGAUCCUAUUUGUCACUUUUUGCUUUUGCUGCAGUUGCUUUUGACAUUUUCAUCAUGAAGUCUUUGCCUGUGCCUAUGUCCUGAAUGGUAUUGCCUAGAUUUUCUUAAGGAGUUUUUAUAGUUUUGGAUUUUACAUUUAAGUCUUUAAUACAUCUUGAGUUAGUUUUUGUAUAAGGUGUAAGGAAAGGGUCCAGUUUCAACUUUCUGCCUAUCGCUAGCCAGGUUUCCCAGCACCAUUUAUUAACUAGGGAAUCUUUUUCCCAUUGCUUGUCUUUGUCAGGUUUGUUGAAGAUCAAAUGGUUAUAGAUGUGUGGUCUUAUUUCUGAGUUCUCUCUUCUGUUCCAUUGGUCUGUGUGUCUGUUUUUAUACCAGUACCAUGCUGUUUUGGUUACUGUAGCCUUAUAGUAUAGUUUGAAGUCGGGGACCAUGAUGCCUCCAACUUUGUUCUUUUUGCUUAGAAUUUUCUUGGCGAUACAGGCUCCUUUUUGGUUCCAUGUGAAGUUUAAAAUAGUUUUCUUCUAAUUCUUUUUUUUUAAUUUUUGAGACAGAGUCUCUAUUUAUCACCCAGGCUGGAGUGCAGUAGUGCUAUCUGCGCUCACUGCAAUAUCCAACUCUCAGGUUCAAGAAAUUCUCAUGCCCCACUCUCCUGAGUAGCUGGGGUUACAGGCAUGCACCCCCAUGCCUGGCCAAUUUUUGUACUUUUAGUAGAGACAUGGUUUCACCAUGUUGGCCAAGCUGGUCUCGAACUCCUGACCUCAAGUGAUCUGUGCCUUGGCCUCCCAAACUGCUGGCCACCACACCUGGCCAGUUUUUUCUAAUUCUGUGAAGAAUGGUAAUGGUAGUUAAUGGGAAUAGCAUUGAAUCUAUAAAUUACUUUUGGUAGUAUGGACAUUUUCACGAUAUUGAUUUUUCCUAUCCAUGAGCAUGGAAUGUUUUUCCAUUUGUUUGUGUCCUGCUGAAUUUCCUUGAGCAGUGGUUUGUGGUUCUCUUUGAAGAGUGCCUUCGCUUCCCUUGUUAGCUGUAUUCCUAGGCAUUCUAUUCUUUUUGUAGCAAUUGUGAAUGGGUGGGAGUUCAUUCACGAUUUGGCUUUCUGCUUGUCUGUUGUUGGUGUAUAGGAAUGCUUGAGAUUUAGGCACAUUAAUUUUGUAUCUGAGACUUUGCUGAAGUUGUUUGUCAUCUUAAGAACGUUUUGGGUUGAGACAAUAGGGUUUUCUAAAUAUAGGAUCAUGUCAUCUGCAGAGACAAUUUAGUUCCCUCUCUUCCUAUUUUAAUACCCUUUAUUUCUUUCUCUUGCCUGAUUGCCCUAGCCAGAAAUUCUAAUACUAUGUUGAAUAGGAGUGGUGAAAGAGGGCAUCCUUGUCUUGUGCCGGUUUUCAAGGGGAAUGUUUCCAGCUUUUGCCCAUUCAGUAUGAUAUUGCCUGUGGGUUUGCCAUAAAUAGCUCUUAUUAUUUUGAGGUAUGUUCCUUCAUUGAGAGUUUUCAGCAUGAAGGGAUGUAGAAUUUUAUCAAAGGCUUUUUUUCUGCAUCUAUUGAGAUAAUUAUGUGUUUUUUGUCUUUAGUUCUGUUUAUGUGAUGAGUUACAUUUAUUGAUUUUCAUAUGUUGAACCAGUCUUGCAUUCUGGUAAUGAAGCCGACUUGAUCGGAGAACUUUUUGAUUUGCUGUGAGAUUUGGUUUGCCAGUAUUUUAUUGAGAAUUUUGCAUCAAUGUUCAUCAAGGAUAUUGGCCUGAAGUUUUCUUUCUUUCUUUUUUUUUUUUUUUAUUUUAAGAUCUGGGGCACAUGUGCAGGAUGUGCAGUUUUGUUACAUAGGUAAAAUGUGCCAUGGUGAUCUCUUGUAUCACAAAGAAAUGUUUCUGAAACUUUUUUUGAGAAGCUAUCUUAAACCCUAAUCUAAUUAAAGAUCCUGAGAAAUGAGAAAUGAUGUUUAUCUUUUAUCUGUGUCUGUAUAUGAUUAAAAUAUUAUGUGACUAUCCUAACUAUUUGCAGGACUGCAAAAUUUUCUGUUACAUAGAGCAAGGGUAACUUCUUUCAAAGCCAAUUGGAAUUGAUUGGGCAUUUUCGGCAUGUGAGGGAGAAAUCUAUAUGAUUUCACCAACAUUCUCUCAGCCACCACUCAAAUGAUUUUACUCUCAUCAAGAUCAAAAUAUUAUUACAAAAGAAGUUGCCUUUGUCAGCAACAUAGACACUUCUUCCUGUCCUGCAUCUUUUCUGAUGUUUCAUACAUGAGUUUUAUGAAACCAAACUCACUAAUUUGACUUAAGGUUGACUACACUCCCAGACCUUCUUUGAUCUUAAAGAGGGAUUGGCUCCUUUGUCUCAGAUGGGUUUCCAGUGAGUCACUUUUGAGCCAUUCUAGACUGUACAAUCACUUAGCUUUGUAUUCAGCCACUUUGAGGGUUGGUGUCAUUCUUAGUCUUUGUCCCUGUAAAUACUUGAACUCUUAGAUUAACAACCUACUAAAUACAGCAUAUAAGCAAAGUCACUAAAAUAUGUGGCAAAAUAGUAAGCUUUGUGCAACACAACUCCUAGCUCCUAUUGCAAAGUCAAAAUUUUUUCUCAAGCUAUCAUAUAAGUGCUUGGAAAAGGAAGAUGCUUGCCUUGUCAGGAUUUCAGUAGGCAAAGCGUAUCAGUGGAAAUUUGUGUGUUCAAGUGUCUAUUGAAGUAGAUUUCUUCAAAGGUUGAGUAAAAGGACCAAAC
rnacentral:lncRNA from 10 species